AGGGGUGUAGCUCAGUUGGUAGAGCAUCGGUCUCCAAAACCGAGGGCCCGCGGUUCGAGUCCGCGCGCCCCUGCCA
rnacentral:tRNA from 1 species